GAGUAACACGUAUCCAACCUGCCGUCUACUCUUGGACAGCCUUCUGAAAGGAAGAUUAAUACAAGAUGGCAUCAUGAGUUCACAUGUUCACAUGAUUAAAGGUAUUCCGGUAGACGAUGGGGAUGCGUUCCAUUAGAUAGUAGGCGGGGUAACGGCCCACCUAGUCUUCGAUGGAUAGGGGUUCUGAGAGGAAGGUCCCCCACAUUGGAACUGAGACACGGUCCAA
rnacentral:rRNA from 1 species